rnacentral:rRNA from 1 species
AGCGGUGGAGCAUGUGGUGUAAUUCGAAGCAACGCGAAGAACCUUACCAGGUCUUGACAUCCUCUGACAAUCCUAGAGAUAGGACGUCCCCUUCGGGGGCAGAGUGACAGGUGGUGCAUGGUGGUCGUCAGCUCGUGUCGUGAGAUGUUGGGUUAAGUCCCGCAACGAGCGCAACCCUUGAUCUUAGUUGCCAGCAUUCAGUUGGGCACUCUAAGGUGACUGCCGGUGACAAACCGGAGGAAGGUGGGGAUGACGUCAAAUCAUCAUGCCCCUUAUGACCUGGGCUACACACGUGCUACAAUGGACAGAACAAAGGGCAGCGAAACCGCGAGGUUAAGCCAAUCCCACAAAUCUGUUCUCAGUUCGGAUCGCAGUCUGCAACUCGACUGCGUGAAGCUGGAAUCGCUAGUAAUCGCGGAUCAGCAUGCCGCGGUGAAUACGUUCCCGGGCCUUGUACACACCGCCCGUCACACCACGAGAGUUUGUAACACCCGAAGUCGGUGAGGUAACCUUUAUGGAGCCAGCCGCCGAAGGUGGGACAGAUGAUUG